rnacentral:rRNA from 1 species
AACGAACGCUGGCGGCAGGCCUAACACAUGCAAGUCGAGCGAGAUCUUCGGGUCUAGCGGCGGACGGGUGAGUAACGCGUGGGAAUAUGCCUCUUGGUACGGAAUAGCCUCGGGAAACUGGGAGUAAUACCGUAUGUGCCCUUUGGGGGAAAGAUUUAUCGCCAAGAGAUUAGCCCGCGCUGGAUUAGGUAGUUGGUGGGGUAAUGGCCUACCAAGCCGACGAUCCAUAGCUGGUUUGAGAGGAUGAUCAGCCACACUGGGACUGAGACACGGCCCAGACUCCUACGGGAGGCAGCAGUGGGGAAUCUUAGACAAUGGGGGCAACCCUGAUCUAGCCAUGCCGCGUGAGUGAUGAAGGCCUUAGGGUUGUAAAGCUCUUUCAGCUGGGAAGAUAAUGACGGUACCAGCAGAAGAAGCCCCGGCUAACUCCGUG